UAGGCCGGAAGUGGAAGAGGCGCAAGCCUUGGAGCUGACCGGUACUAAUAGGCCGAGGAUUUAACUACAA
rnacentral:rRNA from 1 species